GACGAACGCUGGCGGCGUGCUUAACACAUGCAAGUCGAACGGAAAGGCCCUGCUUUUGUGGGGUGCUCGAGUGGCGAACGGGUGAGUAACACGUGAGUAACCUGCCCUUGACUUUGGGAUAACUUCAGGAAACUGGGGCUAAUACCGGAUAUGAGCUCCUGCUGCAUGGUUGGGGUUGGAAAGUUUCGGCGGUUGGGGAUGGACUCGCGGCUUAUCAGCUUGUUGGUGGGGUAGUGGCUUACCAAGGCUUUGACGGGUAGCCGACCUGAGAGGGUGACCGGCCACAUUGGGACUACGAUACGGACCAGACUCAUACGGGAGGCAACAGUGGGGAAUAUUACACAAUGGGCGGAAGCCUGAUGCAGCAACGCCGGGUGCGGGAUGACGGCCUUCGGGUUGUAAACCGCUGUCGCCUGUGACGAAGCGUGAGUGACGGUAAUGGGUAAAGAAGCAACGGCUAACUACGUG
rnacentral:rRNA from 1 species